rnacentral:rRNA from 1 species
AGGCUUUGAUCCUGGCUCAGGAUGAACGUUGGCGGCGUGCCUAAUACAUGCAAGUCGAACGAAGAGCUCGGUGUAGCAAUACACUGAACCUCUUAGUGGCGAACGGGUGAGUAACGCGUUGGUGACCUGCCCCAAAGAGAGGGAUAACAGUUCGAAAGGACUGCUAAUACCUCAUGUGAUCAUUUAGAUUAGAAGCUUUAUGAUUAAAGGAGCUUGCUCCACUUUGGGAGGGGCCUGCGUACCAUCAGCUAGUUGGUAGGGUAAUGGCCUACCAAGGCUAUGACGGUUAGGGGACCUGAGAGGGUGGCCCCCCACAAUGGAACUGAAACACGGUCCAUACACCUACGGGUGGCAGCAGUAGGGAAUAUUGGUAAUGCGCGAAAGCGCGAACCAGCAACGCCGCGUGUGCGAAGAAGGCCUUCGGGUUGUAAAGCACUUUUCGGGAGGAAGAGGAAGGACUGUACUCCCGGAAUAAGUCUCGGC